CCUACGGGUGGCAGCAGUGGGGAAUAUUGCACAAUGGGGGAAACCCUGAUGCAGCGACGCCGCGUGAGUGAAGAAGUAAUUCGUUAUGUAAAGCUCUAUCAGCAGGGAAGAAAAUGACGGUACCUGAGUAAGAAGCCCCGGCUAACUACGUGCCAGCAGCCGCGGUAAUACGUAGGGGGCAAGCGUUAUCCGGAUUUAUUGGGUUUAAAGGGUGCGUAGGCUGUGAGGUAAGUCAGCGGUGAAAUGCCCCCGCUCAACGGGGUGAAGUGCCAUUGAUACUGCCUUGCUGGAAUGCGGAUGCCGUGGGAGGAAUGUGUGGUGUAGCGGUGAAAUGCUUAGAUAUCACGAAGAACUCCGAUUGCGAAGGCAGCUUACUAAACUGCCACUGACAUUGAUGCUCGAAAGUGUGGGUAUCAAACAGGAUUAGAUACCCGAGUAGUC
rnacentral:rRNA from 1 species